UGCAGAGGGUGCGAGCGUUGUUCGGAAUUACUGGGCGUAAAGCGCGCGCAGGCGGCCCUUUAAGUCUACCCGUGAAAUGCCGGAGCUCAACUCCGUGCACGCCGGGGGAUACUGGGGGGCUGGAGACAGGUAGAGGCAAGCGGAAUUCCGGGUGUAGCGGUGGAAUGCGUAGAUAUCCGGAAGAACACCUGAGGCGAAGGCGGCUUGCUGGGCCUGAUCUGACGCUGAGGCGCGAAAGCGUGGGGAGCAAACAGG
rnacentral:rRNA from 1 species